UGCACCCUUGCUUCUAAGUCUCUUUGGAUAAAAGUGUCUGCUAAAUGGCAUAAU
rfam:Salmo salar isolate Sally breed double haploid chromosome ssa28, whole genome shotgun sequence.